rnacentral:rRNA from 1 species
AGGUAACAGCCCUGUAGUCAAAACUUCGUUCUCUCCUGAGUGGAUCCUGAGUACGGCGGAACACGUGAAAUUCCGUCGGAAUCCGGGAGGACCAUCUCCCAAGGCUAAAUACUCCCUAGUGACCGAUAGUGAACCAGUACCGUGAGGGAAAGGUGAAAAGCACCCCGGAAGGGGAGUGAAAGAGAUCCUGAAACCGUGUGCCUACAAGUAGUCAGAGCCCGUUAACGGGUGAUGGCGUGCCUUUUGUAGAAUGAACCGGCGAGUUACGAUCCCGUGCAAGGUUAAGCAGAAGAUGCGGAGCCGCAGCGAAAGCGAGUCUGAAUAGGGCGCAUGAGUACGUGGUCGUAGACCCGAAACCAGGUGAUCUACCCAUGUCCAGGGUGAAGUUCAGGUAACACUGAAUGGAGGCCCGAACCCACGCACGUUGAAAAGUGCGGGGAUGAGGUGUGGGUAGGGGUGAAAUGCCAAUCGAACCUGGAGAUAGCUGGUUCUCUCCGAAAUAGCUUUAGGGCUAGCCUCAAGGUAAGAGUCUUGGAGGUAGAGCACUGAUUGGACUAGGGGCCCCUACCGGGUUACCGAAUUCAGUCAAACUCCGAAUGCCAAUGACUUAUC